rnacentral:piRNA from 1 species
UCCAGCUCCUUCCGCAGGUGUUCAGCCUCUGC